rnacentral:rRNA from 1 species
UCGGGAAUUUUGGGCAAUGGGCGAAAGCCUGACCCAGCAACGCCGCGUGAGGGAUGAAGUAUUUCGGUAUGUAAACCUCGAAAGAAUGGGAAGAAUAAAUGACGGUACCAUUUAUAAGCUCCGGCUAACUACGUGCCAGCAGCCGCGGUAAUACGUAGGGAGCAAGCGUUGUUCGGAUUUACUGGGCGUAAAGGGCGCGUAGGCGGCGCGGUAAGUCACUUGUGAAAUCUCUGAGCUUAACUCAGAACGGCCAAGUGAUACUGCUGUGCUAGAGUGCGGAAGAGGCAACCGGAAUUCUUGGUGUAGCGGUGAAAUGUGUAGAUAUCAAGAGGAACACCUGAGGCGAAGGCGGGUUGCUGGGCCGACACUGACGCUGAUGCGCGAAAGCCAGGGGAGCAAACG